GACGAACGCUGGCGGCGUGCUUAACACAUGCAAGUCGAACGGAAGGGCCCUGCUUUUGUUGGUUUCUCGUUUGGCGAAGGCGUGAGUAACACGUGAGUAACCUGCCCUUGUCUUUCGGGUAACUUCUGGAGACUGGGGCUAAUACCGGGUAUGAUCUCCUGCUGCAUGGUGGUGGUUGGAAAGUUUCGGCGUUUGUGGAUGUACUCGCGGUUUAUGAGCUUGUUUGUGAGGUAGUUGCGUACCAAGGCUUUGACGGGUAGCCGGCAUGAGAGGGUGACCGGGGACAUUGGGACUGCGAUACGGCGCAGACUCCUAUGGGAGGCAGCAGUGGGGAAUAUUGCAGAAUGGGCGGAAGUCUGAUGCAGCAACGCCGCGUGCGGGAUGCCGGCCUUCGGGUUGUAAACCGCUUUCGACUGUGACGAAGCGUGAGUGACGGUAAUGGGUAAAGAAGCACCGGCUAACUACGUG
rnacentral:rRNA from 1 species